UACGGAGGGUGCAAGCGUUAUCCGGAUUUACUGGGUUUAAAGGGUGCGCAGGCGGGCCAUUAAGUCCGGGGUGAAAUCCUCCCGCUCAACGGGAGAACUGCCCUGGAAACUAUUGGCCUUGAAUCAAGUUGAGGUAGGCGGAAUAUAACAUGUAGCGGUGAAAUGCAUAGAUAUGUUAUAGAACACCGAUUGCGAAGGCAGCCUACUAAGCUUGCAUUGACGCUGAGGCACGAAAGCGUGGGUAGCGAACAGG
rnacentral:rRNA from 1 species